rnacentral:rRNA from 1 species
GACGAACGCUGGCGGCGUGCUUAACACAUGCAAGUCGAACGGAAAGGCCUUUUCGGAGGUACUCGAGUGGCGAACGGGUGAGUAACACGUGGGUGAUCUGCCCUGCACUCUGGGAUAAGCCUGGGAAACUGGGUCUAAUACCGGAUAGGACCGCACUUUAGUGUGUGUGGUGGAAAGUUUUUUCGGUGUAGGAUGAGCCCGCGGCCUAUCAGCUUGUUGGUGGGGUAAUGGCCUACCAAGGCGGCGACGGGUAGCCGGACUGAGAGGUUGGUCGGCCACAUUGGGACUGAGAUACGGCCCAGACUCCUACGGGAGGCAGCAGUGGAGAAUAUUGCACAAUGGGCGCAAGCCUGAUGCAGCGACGCCGCGUGGGGGAUGACGGCCUUCGGGUUGUAAACUCCUUUCGCCAGGGACGAAGCGUUUUGUGACGGUACCUGGAGAAGAAGCACCGGCUAACUACGUG